GAUGAACGCUGGCGGCGUGCCUAAUACAUGCAAGUCGAGCGAACGGACGAGAAGCUUGCUUCUCUGAUGUUAGCGGCGGACGGGUGAGUAACACGUGGAUAACCUACCUAUAAGACUGGGAUAACUUCGGGAAACCGGAGCUAAUACCGGAUAAUAUUUUGAACCGCAUGGUUCAAAAGUAAAAGACGGUCUUGCUGUCACUUAUAGAUGGAUCCGCGCUGCAUUAGCUAGUUGGUAAGGUAACGGCUUACCAAGGCAACGAUGCAUAGCCGACCUGAGAGGGUGACCGGCCACACUGGAACUGAGACACGGUCCAGACUCCUACGGGAGGCAGCAGUAGGGAAUCUUCCGCAAUGGGCGAAAGCCUGACGGAGCAACGCCGCGUGAGUGAUGAAGGUCUUCGGAUCGUAAAACUCUGUUAUUAGGGAAGAACAUAUGUGUAAGUAACUGUGCACAUCUUGACGGUACCUAAUCAGAAAGCCACGGCUAACUACGUG
rnacentral:rRNA from 1 species